CCAUGAGUGUGCUACAGUACUCCUCCAACGUCUGAGCGAGCGAGUGAGGGGAGGGCAGGAAACAACACUGACCACAGGUUAACACAAGUAAAAAGAUCAGCUCCGAGCCUGAGUACAACAGAACAGAAGCCCCUCUGAAGGAAAUGAAGAAAUCUAUACUUGUCUUCCUUUGUCUUGCUGCAUUGGCUGCAUGCACCUUUGCAACAGUGGGUUCAAUUGCUAAAUGCAAUUGCCUAAGAUUGACAGAUACAGUCCUACAACCCAGACGAAUUCAAGGGUUUCAGCAGCAAAAAAAAGAUGGCAGGUGCCCAGUUGAUGCUGUUGUAUUCACAACAAUCAAAGGGAAAAAAGUCUGUUCUGAUCCAGCAAAAAUCUGGGUAAAGAAAGCAAUCAAGAAACUGGGAAAAGCAGGAGGAGAAAGAAAGAAGGGAAAGGCCAAAAAACAAAAUAGAAAGAAGAACAUCUGCAUGAGACAGAAAUAAAAAAAACUGACCUGGACGAGAACCAACCAGCUGACCUAGUGUAUCCUUAAGAGAGGGACUGUUUUCAAACUAGACCCUUCACCUUUGCAUCAUACCACACACGUGUUUGAUCAGUGCAUUAGAAUUUGCUUUGUGCUCUUACAGCUCAAUGUUUCUAUUUACCAUGUUAUUAGCAAUAGUAAUGUUGGUGUUAAUAUAUUAAUAACAUUUGUCAUGGAAGUGGUAGCCCUAGGAUUUUCUUACUGAACCCAAGAACUGACAAUCCUAAAGAUUGUAAUGUUCCUGUGGCCGCAGGCUACAGAGCCUAUGGUACAGUAAAUACACGUUAAACUUCUUACUAGGUCCAGUAGACAAACAUGUCUUUUUCAAUAUCAGUUUUGUCUAUUAUAAAUAUGUUUGAGAAUGUAAUUUAAAUAGGUUUACUAAAGGAGGUGGUCAACUAGUAGCUUCCAAAGAAUGUAUCCAAAUCAUGCCAAACCAAAUUCUUUACUUAAUUACAGACAAGGUUUUCUGUAAUAUUGAAGACAUGAGAAAAAGAAUACAGUUUUAGUAUUGGAGCAACAGAAAUGUCCGUCUUAAAAAAAAGAGAUGGUUACAUGAAAUAUAAUUAAAUUACACUUUUAACUAUAUGUCCUUUUAAAUGUCUAAUGUGCUUACUUAAAUAUGUCAACACACACACACACACACACACAUAUAUAUUGUAAUAGUUUGUUUAUGAAAAAUAUGUUUUGAAUUGAAAACUGUACUGGGAUAA